rnacentral:rRNA from 1 species
GACAGAGGGUGCAAACGUUGCUCGGAAUCGCUGGGCGUAAAGGGCGUGUAGGCGGGUAGUUAAGUCGGGCGUGAAAUCCCUAGGCUCAACCUAGGAACUGCACUCGAAACUGUUUAUCUUGAGUAUCGGAGAGGAAAGCGGAAUUCCUGGUGUAGAGGUGAAAUUCGUAGAUAUCAGGAGGAACACCAGUGGCGAAGGCGGCUUUCUGGACGGUAACUGACGCUGAGACGCGAAAGCGUGGGGAGCAAACAGG